AGUGGAAUUACUGGAUCAUAUGGUAAGAUCACAUUUAACUUUUUAAGAAAUGUCCAAGUUGUUUUUCAAAGUGGCUGUACCAUUUUACAGUCUCUUAUAACAUU
rnacentral:pre_miRNA from 1 species